rnacentral:rRNA from 1 species
AACGAACGCUGGCGGCAUGCCUAACACAUGCAAGUCGAACGAGACCUUCGGGUCUAGUGGCGCACGGGUGCGUAACACGUGGGAAUCUGCCCUUUGCUUCGGUAUAACAGUUAGAAAUGACUGCUAAUACCGGAUGAUGUCUAAAGACCAAAGAUUUAUCGGCAAAGGAUGGGCCCGCGUAGGAUUAGUUAGUUGGUGGGGUAAAGGCCUACCAAGCCGACGAUCCUUAGCUGGUCUGAGAGGAUGAUCAGCCACACUGGGACUGAGACACGGCCCAGAAUACUACGGGAGGCAGCAGUGGGGAAUAUAGGAAAAUGGGCGAAAGCCUGAUACAGCAAUGCCGGGUGAGUGAUGAAGGCAUUAGGGUAGUAAAGCUCUUUUAACAGGGAUGAUAAUGACAGUAACUGGAGAAUAAGCUCCGGCUAACUCCGUG